GCUGGGUGCGGUGGCGUGUGCCUGUAGUCCCAGCUACUCAGGAGGCUGAGGUGAGAGGAUUGUUUGAGCCCAGGAGUUCUGGGCUGUAGUGCGCUAUGCCGAUCAGUGUCUGCACUAAGUUUGGCAUCAAUACAGUGACCUCCUGGGAGCAGGAGACCACCAGGUUGCCUAAGGAGGGGUGAACCGGCCCAGGUCAGAAACAGAGCAGGUCAAAACUCCCGUGGUGAUCAGAGGUGGGAUUCGCGCCUGUGAAUAGCCACUGUACUCCAGCCUGGGCAAUAUAGCAAGACCCCAUCUCUA
ensembl:misc_RNA Metazoa_SRP Metazoan signal recognition particle RNA